CCUACGGGUGGCAGCAGUGAGGAAUAUUGGUCAAUGGGCGAGAGCCUGAACCAGCAAAGUCGCGUGAGGGAGUACUGCCCUAGGGGUUGUAAACCUCUUUGGUCGGGGAGCAAAAGCCGGACGUGUCCGGCUAUGAGAGUACCCGAAGAAAAAGCAUCGCCUAACUCGGGGCCAGCAGCCGCGGGAAUACGGGGGAUGCGAGCGUUAUCGGGAUUUAUUGGGGUAAAGGGGGGCAGAGGGGGAUUUUUAUGUCAGCGGUAAAAUCGUGGGUUUCAACCCCAUCCAGCCGUUGAAACUGGGGUUCUAGAGUGUGCGAGAGGUAUGCGGAAUGCGUGGUGUAGCGGUGAAAUGCAUAGAGAUCACGCAGAACCCCGAUUGCGAAGGCAGCAUACUGGUGCACAACUGACGCUCAGGCACGAAAGCGUGGGUAUCGAACAGGAUUAGAUACCCGAGUAGUC
rnacentral:rRNA from 1 species